GGUGGUUCCCUCUGAGGCCUCUCUCCUUGACCUGUGUCCUCACGCAGUCUUCUCUCUGUGUGAGUCUGGGUCUUCACAUCCUUUAGGACAUCAGUCAGACUGGAUUAAGUCCCACCCUAAUGACCUCAUUCUAAUUUAAUCACCCGCUUAAAGACUGUAUCUCCAAAUAAGUUGGCAUUCUGAGGUGCUGGGGGUAAAGGUUUCAACACAGAAGUUGGGAGGGGGAAUGUAAUCCAAAGCCUUGACUGUUGUCACCAUUCUCAAUGUAUGACCAUGCUAAUAACUUAAUGGAACUACAUAUGCUUCAGUAUUUCUGAAAAUCAUUUCCUAUAAUCCUCUCUACUUCACCAGAGCACAGGAAUAUUCAUAUCUGCAUCAAAUGACUGGUUCCCAGAAGUUGUAAUAAAUGGAGCUUCAGUGCCUCAAAAGAUGAAGGCAUUCCACUCCCAGGCUUUGGGGGCUUCUGGAAAAACAAAUGGAGUAAUUUUAGGGAAUCUGUCAUUUUCUGGUUGAGCGUUUUCCUAAAUAAGCAUGGGGGCUCCCAUUUUGGACCAUCUAUCCUAAAAUAAGUCUACCACUGAUGUUGAGCUUCCUCUUGAGCUUUCCGAUCUGCCACAGCCAGGGCUGCUCAGUCAGCUCCAUCGUCUCGGCUUCCUUAUGGAAAGCCAGCCAGUAGGCGGACCUCCAAAUCCACGGAAUGCUGACAUGGCUCACCUGGCGGGCCCUGAAGACCUGAAGUCGAAGGCUGGCAUCAUAGAAUCAUGCCAGCAUUCCACACAUGGCAAAUAUCGGGAAGGAAAUGGACAGAAGCCACAAUGUAGGGUAAAGGAGAAUGUUCCACACUCCACAACUUAGGGGCCAGGUGGCACCAAGACCAGCAUCAGCCAAGACAUCCAGAGCUGGGGAAAUGCCAGGUCAGCCCACUCCUGGAGGCCUGGCAUGGCGGCCUCUUACCUCCGAGCUCACCUUCCCCUGAAGGCCCGGCCCAACCUGCCACUGUCUCAUCACAGGACAGAAGCUUAGGGACAGGCAGCAGGCUCUUUCCAGCCUUUCCUUCCCUUGGAGCAAAGAGCCCUGGAGUCAGAGGUGUGAUUCUGACUCUGUCGCUUCCCCGCCUGGUCCCGUGACUUUCUUGGGAACCAAGGGGAACUGAUUUACUGACCAGCCUAGUGGGGUGCGACUGUGCCCUUCUAACCAGGAGGCCCAUGCCUGCCGUGUGCCAGCCUGGCCCACAGGGAAGGCUGGUCACGUGCUCUGGCCCUGGUUUAGCCAAAGACAGCUCAGUGCUCCCACCUUCCUCAGCCUCUGCACGACACGCAGCAAAGCAUGAGCUGUGAUGGAGUACCAGGGAGAGGGUGCCCUUCUUCCUCUUCUCAAAAUAUGUGUACACUUACGUAUGCUUUUUAAUGUCUCAGUUUGGGAGAGACCAAGAAAUGCAUGUGUCCUGUACUCUCCAACUGAUCAAAGAACAGCUUGACCUGAGAAAUGGAAAUUUUAAGGCGCUUACAGGGCCUGGAAAGAAAUGCAGAAGCCAAUUUGAGUGCAGAAUCAAAAUACCAUCUGGGUUUUGGUGACAAUGAGUAACACUGCUGGCUCUUUUCUGAGAGCAAUUACAUGAAAAAGGAUUUUUUUGUAAGCCUCCACUGCUAAAAUCGUAAAGAUGUUUAAUGAUGAAUAGACACAAAAAUGAUCCCAGCAGCUAUCUGUGCACACCCGGUACACAGGAUGUCCAUCAGGCCUGGAAGCAGGGCUUGAUUAUACAGUAUGUCACCAAGGCCAUCUCAACCUGGAGAAGUGCAGAAAAUCUCAUCUGUGUGUCCAGAGUUUAUGGUCACCUCACAUACCCAGUAAUGGAGGCAGUGGGAGGAAGGCCAUGGCCACAUGCCAUAGGCACGUACUCAAAAUACUUGAACUCUUAACUCAAACCCUCAUGGGCAAUGGGGGUGCCUGUGUCUCUCGGGCCCCAUGUCUUAGGCUUCAUGGAAGACUCCUUUUUCUCCUUAAACCAGGCCAACUAUAAUUUGCUCCCCACAAAGUGUCUCAGCCUGAAGACCAGACAGCCCGGGUCCUCAGGCCAUCCACCUCUGCCAGUUCUGGGGUCUCAGCUGCUCAGAUCCAUUCCUAGGCCAGCUCUGCAGGAACAAAGGAAACACACUGAAGGAUUUUGGAGGAAGUUUCAUGAUGUAUGCAAUCUGCUUUCAAAUGACUCGGACCCACACUGAUGCAGACAUGCACAGAAGAGACAAAUGUCAGAUGGAGCAAACCUGAGAUGGGUGGGCUGGGGUCAAAGGUACAUGAGUAUUCUUUGUACUCUUCCUGUAUUGCAGCUUUCCUGUAAGUUUCAAGUGACUUCCAUUUAAAAUGCUCUUUUAAAAAAGAAGCUAAAGCACUAAAUUAUGUUUUCUACCUUUAUCUUGCAUCUACCUACCACUUCAGCAUUUUAUUAAAAACAAAAAAUAAAAAAAAGGGAGAAAUGUGGGAUUCACAUAUAAAUCAAGUAUAAAAAUCAAAUGAAUAAUCAUAUCUGACUUGAUUGUUUAUAGUUCAUGAUGUGUGAUCAAAACCGAAAGUUUCUGUGAUAUGACUGCCCUUGCACCGUUCACCAUGUAAGAACUUAUUCACUAUGUAAGAACUUGUUCACUAUGUAAGAA